rnacentral:rRNA from 1 species
UACGUAGGGGGCAAGCGUUAUCCGGAAUUACUGGGUGUAAAGGGAGCGUAGGCGGCAUGGUAAGCCAGAUGUGAAAGCCCGGGGCUUAACUCCGAGGAUUGCAUUUGGAACUAUCAAGCUAGAGUACAGGAGAGGAAAGCGGAAUUCCUAGUGUAGCGGUGAAAUGCGUAGAUAUUAGGAAGAACACCAGUGGCGAAGGCGGCUUUCUGGACUGAAACUGACGCUGAGGCUCGAAAGCGUGGGGAGCGAACAGG